rnacentral:rRNA from 1 species
CUACGGGAGGCAGCAGUUAGGAAUCUUGGGCAAUGGGCGCAAGCCUGACCCAGCCAUGCCGCGUGUGUGAAGAAGGCCUUCGGGUUGUAAAGCACUUUCAGUGGUCAAGAAAGGCUUAGGGCCAAUACCCCUGGAGCCUUGACGUUAGCCACAGAAGAAGUACCGGCUAACUCCGUGCCAGCAGCCGCGGUAAUACGGAGGGUACGAACGUUAAUCGGAAUCACUGGGCGUAAAGCGCGCGUAGGCGGUUUGUUAAGUGGGAUGUGAAAUCCCCGGGCUUAACCUGGGAAUUGCAUUUCAAACUGGCUGACUAGAGUACGGUAGAGGGAGGUAGAAUUUCCUGUGUAGCGGUGAAAUGCGUAGAUAUAGGAAGGAAUACCAGUGGCGAAGGCGGCCUCCUGGAUCGAUACUGACGCUGAGGCGCGAAAGCGUGGGGAGCAAACAGGAUUAGAUACCCCGGUAGC